UACGUAGGGGGCAAGCGUUGUCCGGAUUUAUUGGGCGUAAAGAGCGUGUAGGCGGCUUGGUAGGUCCGCUGUGAAAACUCGAGGCUCAACCUCGAGAUGUCGGCGGAAACCACUUGGCUAGAGUCCGGAAGAGGAGAGUGGAAUUCCGAGUGUAGAGGUGAAAUUCGUAGAUAUUCGGAAGAACACCAGUGGCGAAGGCGGCUCACUGGCCCGGUUCUGACGCUGAGGUGCGAAAGCGUGGGGAGCAAACAGG
rnacentral:rRNA from 1 species